rnacentral:rRNA from 1 species
GAUGCGCGGCUUACCAUGCAAGUCGAGCGGUAACAGGGGGUGCUUGCACCCCGCUGACGAGCGGCGGACGGGUGAGUAAUGCAUAGGAAUCUGCCCAGUAGUGGGGGAUAGCCCGGGGAAACCCGGAUUAAUACCGCAUACGCCCUUUGGGGGAAAGCAGGGGAUCUUCGGACCUUGCGCUAUUGGAUGAGCCUAUGUCGGAUUAGCUAGUUGGUGGGGUAAAGGCCUACCAAGGCGACGAUCCGUAGCUGGUCUGAGAGGAUGAUCAGCCACAUCGGGACUGAGACACGGCCCGAACUCCUACGGGAGGCAGCAGUGGGGAAUAUUGGACAAUGGGGGCAACCCUGAUCCAGCCAUGCCGCGUGUGUGAAGAAGGCUUUCGGGUUGUAAAGCACUUUCAGUGAGGAGGAAAACCUUCUGGUUAAUACCCAUGAGGCUUGACGUUACUCACAGAAGAAGCACCGGCUAACUCCGUGCCAGCAGCCGCGGUAAUACGGAGGGUGCAAGCGUUAAUCGGAAUUACUGGGCGUAAAGCGCGCGUAGGUGGUUUGAUAAGCGAGAUGUGAAAGCCCCGGGCUUAACCUGGGAACGGCAUUUCGAACUGUCAGGC